ACCCAUCCUGGUUGCUAAGUCUCCUUGGGUAUCUUCCCUACCAGCCCCUCUGAGGGCUCAGUCUAGUCUCCUGUGAAGCCAGCCCUUCCUGUCUUCUCACCUCCUACCUUCUACUGUGCAGUGUAUCAGAGUGGACUGUCAAGAGUGGGUGUGUUGGGUUAGACUCAUUGCCCACACCUGGCCAAGGCCCUUCCACUAUCCCAUUAAUAUGAUGCCAACACUCUGCAUUCCUGACCCUUGAGCAAAGAAAGGCUUGGAUACACACAGGUAAGCUGCCAGGAGGUUGCAAAGAGUAGCCCACAAGUUCUCUUUGCUAGAGGAUAAAGCCAAUGCUUUUUCAGAGACCAAUAAAGAAGAAACUAUCAGCUGGGCAGUGGUGGCACAUGCUUUAAUCCCAGCACUCAAGAGGCAGAGGCAGGCUUAGGUCUCUGUGAAUUCGAGUCUCGCCUGGUCUACAGAGCAAGUUCCAGGAUAGCCAGGGCUACACAAAGAAACCCUGUGUUGACAAACCAAAAAGAAAAAAAGAAACUAUGAGAUCUUAUCCCAGAAAACACAUGCAAGCAAACAAACCCAUGGCUGAUAUAGUAAGGAUGAACCAUACCAGUAUGACUUGUUACUGGUGAAAAAGAGGGAGUAACUGGCUUCUUGUUCUUAAAGAAUAAGUACUCUAAUUGUUUAAUACUAAGGACAGGCCUGGAGUUAAGGCAGCCGGUUUUUGUUUGGUUGGUUGGUUUUUGCCCCCGCCUCUCAAGAUAGGGUUUCUCUGUGGAGCUUUGGAGCCUGUCCUGGAACUCACUCUGUAAACCAGGCUGGCCUUUGAACUCACAGAGAUCCCCUGCCAGUUCUAACAUGAAGAUCCUAAAUCAAGAGCACACACACACACACACACACACACACACACACACACACACACAGGAUCCAGCGAACCUGCUUGUCCUCCUCUCCUUAAAUCUUCAGCUGACCACACAGCAGGAAUGGAUGGGGACAGAGCUCCACUUGCGGUCAAUGAAGAAAAGGAAGCCAAAGCAGAUGGCAGGAAUUCUGCUACCCUGGGUAUCUAAGUUUAAAGCAACAGUAGAACAAGUAGUUUGCUGUCAGAAGCACCAAGGCUGCACCAGUUUUCAGUGCUCUCUACAGAAGAUCACAGCAUUUUCACUCUGAAGACUCCACAGUUAAACAGUGCUUCCAGGUUAGGUUCGACCUAGAGAAUAUGUAGAUUUAUCUAGAAAAUAAAACUACACAAAAAGGAAAUGAGGGCUGGGGUGUGACCAAUAUAGCAUAUGUGUGUGAUCUGAGUUGAAGUCUCAGUCCCAGGAAGUGGGGGAAAAGAAGAACCAAACUGCUGUUAUAAUGUUAGACAGUGCAGUAAGAACUCUUCUUUUAAACCUGAUGAAGUGUGUUUAUCCUUGCUGCUUCUGGUCUCUAUAAUCGAGACAGGGUGAUGGACAGGGAAGUGCCAACUAGCGGUCUACCCUGACCUAGAGAACAUAUAUUCACAGUGCACAGUCUGUUUUAGGGACUCCAAAUAGACCCCAGCCUCACAUGUAGGAAAACACUGAGCCUGGAGGGUAGGUGUGUCAGCUCUUCAGGGAGAUCUGAACUCCUGCCGCAGGCCUCUGGAGACAAGUUAAAUUACCUGGCUAUUUUUCACAUUCUAGCAGUCAACCCACAAGUUUCAAACAGAGGAGAGCUGGGUGACAACAGCUAGCUAGCAGUGGCUGUCAAGCCAGACAGGGCAGUGCAGGGAAAUACUGUGGGAAGCCCUUUCUGAGUUAACCAGAAAAGCACAAUUUCCUUCUAGCUUCCAGCUCAUAAAAUAGCCAUGGAAGCUGCUCCAGAGAGACAAGCAAGCACAGUGGACACAUGCGCAGUUCUGACAAGUGAACGGGCAAACCCCAUCGACACAGACAGUCAUCAAAGGAGACUAGUCAGGUGCUCUCAUGCUGGAGUUUCAGCCGCCACUGUGAUGUCGGCCAGACACUGCAAACAUUUCCACUGACUCAUCACCUGACUCAUCACAGUGACGACGGAAACGACAGAAAACACAUCCCCAGCAGAAGGCAGGUGUUUUAGAACUGUUUGUGGUAUAUAUGAGCUUCAGACCUCAUGCUGGACCAAAUAAACAGCAAUCCAGGGGAGGGGGGUGCUGCUUCAGGGUAGUUCACACCAAUAGACCCAAUUCUUGCAGGCCUUGGGUUUCCUUCUAAACUGCUGGAAGCUGUGCCAGAUUGGUGAGGGUUACUCAGCAGCUCUAAUGUGUCCAGUAACAAAAAGGUCUGAGCAGCCCAACCUCAACUCCUGUGGGAGAUGCAGGCAGUCCUGGUGCUGAGGAGGAAGACAUGGCCCCAGGUCUAGGUGUGAUCCUGGACAAGCCUCAUGUCAUUUCAAUUCUUGCUCCAAGAAACGAGUAUGAAGAUCGCAUUCCAUAAUAAUAAUAACAACAACAAUGAUAAUAACAAUAACAUGCCAGGCUGAGAAUGAAGCUCAAGCAGAGCAUUUGCCUAGGGUGUCUAAGAACCAAAGUUUAAUUCUUACUGCCAAAAAACUUAAGAAAUCCUUAGUCUCGGUUAAAAUGCAGUCUACACUGGUGACACGAACGGCAAGCAGGCCAUGAAGUCACAAGUGGUGACAAGAAGCCGGUAAGAAAGUCCUAGUCGUCUUCCUGGAAGCCCGCCAUGUACAGAGCCUGUGGCUGAGGGGUUUAGAGAAACAGUCUACCUGAACUCACUGAUGGGCUGUGCAAGAGUCAACCAUCUUCACCUUUGGGACUCUCUUUGAGGGGAGUCCUCCGAGCACUCAGUCCCCAGCGUCAUGCAGCACACAGGCAGCUGAUCUGAAGAUGUCCCAACUCAGAGUCAAGGCCUACCCAUACUGGCAAUUUCUUCUCUCAGAAAAAGGGUUAACUCUGAUUGCUAACUGUGGUGGUUUGAAUAUAAAUGACCCCAAGGGUCUAUAGGGAGGAGCACCAUUUAGGAGGGGUGGCCUGGGAGUAGGUGUGGCCUUGUUGGAGGAGGUGUGUGACCAGGGGAUGGGAUUUGAGGUAUCAGAAGCUCCAGCUAGUUUCUCUGCCUGCUUCCUGUAGAUCAAGAUGUACAAUUCUCAGCUCCUCUAGCAUGUCUGCCUGCAUGUCACCAUGAUAAUGGACUGAACCUCUGAACUCUACGCCAGCCCCAAUGAAAUGUUUUCCUUUAGAAGAGUCAGCGUGAUCAGAGCAACAGAAACCCUAAGACACUAACAUUCCAGGUGGACCUACAUCCAAUUAAGUGCAACUGCGUCUUAGGGUAACAUCCCUUUUCAAAGUGUUGUUCUUAAACCCAAACAUCAGUAAAUUCAAAGGAAUGUUAAAUCCUCUAGAAAGAAUCAGUUUUCAAACCUAGUGAGGGGCUGGAGAGCGGGCUCAGCGGCUGCCAGCACGAGCUGCUCUUCCAGAAGCUGCAGUUCAGCUUCCAGCACCAUGGCCAAGCAAUUCACGGCCACCUGCAACCCCAGUGCCAGGGAUCCAACACCCUCUUCUGACCUCCCUGUACCCCUACCCCAUAUAUAUUAAUAAAACUAAUGCCUAAAGUAAUAAGGAUCAUAAUUAGUCUCAGCAGUUAAGAGUACUUGCUGUUCUUAACUGAGUUCAGGUCUUAGCACUCUGUCAGGUGGUUCACAGCUGUCAUUCCAGGUAGCAUAUAUACACAGACACAAACACACCCCCACAAUCAAUAAAUAAAAAACAAUUAAAAUAUAUACAUAUAUACUAAUAAAAGCUUGCAUGCUCGUUUUAAAUGAUAAUCACUGCUUUUCAAAAGCAACAGCACUAUAUCCAAGGAUGUUGGGAAAUAUGUGGUAGUGUUUUGGGUUGUCAUAUGUCUGGGAAGUACACUAUGGGCAGAUUGGAAGGGAUCAGAUAUGUAACACAAGCUGGCAUGAUCAAACAGUACUAUACAUUCUAAUAGUGGGCAAUACUAGUUACUACUCUAAAAAGUUGAUGGAUCAGCUAGCAAAGUGUGUAUUGAACAAGCAUGAGGACUUGAGUUCAGAUCCCCAGCACCUAUGUAAAAAGUGAAGGUGGUGGCACACACUUGUAAUUCUAGUACUGCUCAAGAAGAGAAACAGACAGGAGGCAUCUUGGAGGUCCCUAGCCAGCCAAUCUAGUCAAACUGGUAAGCUCCAGCUUCAGGGAAAGAACCUAACUCAAAGACAACAACAAAAACGAAACAAGAAACCAAGGUGGAAAACAAUCGAGGAUGACGGCCAAUAUUAACCUCUGCUAUCCAUACGCGCACACAUACAUACUCAUGAACAUUGUUAACAUACGCGCACACAUACUCAUGAACAUGCAGCAUGCACACACAAACAUCGUUGACAUGCUCAGCCUUAGCUCAUCUGUGCUCUUACUGCUUGAACAUCACUCUGAGAAAUCUUUGCACAUUAGCAUUCCUCAAAAUCACGACUUAAAUUCUGUGUCCUCACUCAGCUUAAGAACUAACAAGGAGGACUUGGAGCCAGUCUUGUACUACAGGUACCCAAAUGGGUCUUACAGUUUUACUUAGAUCAAUCUAUGUAGCUGUGGGACAUUUGCUGGGUUUCCCCCAACAGAGCUGCCAAAACUCAAAGUAGAUGACAAGAGGCAGUACUGCUUGGAAAUUAGGAUACAGGUACAAUAAUAGUCUUACUCCCUGCUUUGAUAUUUUUCAACUUCUGAUCCCCCAGCCUUGACCUUCCCAGGGCUGAGAUUCAGGAAGGGGCCACCAAGUCCAGUUUAUAUGGUGCAUGGGAUAAAACCCAGGGCUUCAUGAAUGCGAGGCGAGCAUUCUACCAACAGAGCUACAGGCAGCCCCAGUGCAAACUGCCAAACUUCUAAUAUCUAAAGUGGUGGCACGCUUAAAAAAAAUUUUGACAGCAAAAUGUAAACAUACAAUAUUAAAAAAAAAAAAGAAAACCAAAACAAUGCUCACGCUCACAAAAUCCACACUACCAGGCACAGUAGCACAUACCUUUAAAGCCUAGCACUGGGAAGGCAAGGGAGGAUCUUCCUGACUUGGGGGCCUGCCUGGGUUGACAUAGCAGGCCAGCAAGGGCUACAUAGAAAGACUUUGCCUCAAAACAAACAUGGCAGGUGCAGAGGCCCAUGCCUAUAAUCCUAGUACUUAGGAGGUGAUGUGGGAGUGAUUUCUUACUAAUAAAGAAACUGCCUCGGCCCUCAUAGGACAGAAAAUUAGGUAGGCGGAGUAGACAGAAGAGAAUUCUAAAAAAAAAAAGCUGAGAGAGAGUCGCCAUGAUGCUCCCACUCCAGACAGACGCAGGUUAAGAUCCUCUCUGCACUUCUAGUGACCAGGGGAACCAGGUCGAAGUUACAGGAAGGUAUCACCUCACCUGGUAAGAAAAGGUGACUUCGAGAAGACACACCGUGGAAGAUCUGCUGCAAAGGGAACCUUUCCAUUACUGGUGGCAACUGAAGUUAGUACAGCCAUUAUGAGAAGCUACCUGAAGUUCCUCAAAACAUAAAAGAGAACUAGCUUGUGAGCCAGUAACUCCAUCCAAAGGAGAAGAAGCCUCAUCCCUAUUCACUUGGCACCCUUCGAAAUGGCUACGUAAUGCAAACAACCCGAAUGUCCAUCAGCUGGUAUGGGGCAAGCACUGUGGCGCAUACACCAUGUCCUGCCGUUUGUCAUGGAUUGAGAUGUAGAUCAUCACGUUAAGGGGGCUAAGCUGUUUUAGUCAGGGCUACUAUUGCUGUGAUGAAACACCAUUACCAAAGCAACUUGGGGUGGGGCGGAGAGUUUGUUGGGCUUACGCUUCCACAUCACAAUUCAUGAUCAGAGGAAGUCAGGACAGGAAGUCAAAUCAGACAGGAAUCUGGAGGCAGGAGCUGAUGCAGAGACCAUGGAAGGGAACUGCUUACUGGCUUGUUGAACAUGGCUUGCUCAGUCUGCUUUCUUAUAGAACCCAGGACUACUAUCCCAGGGGUGGUCCCACCCACAAUGGGUUGACCCUCCCCCAUUGAUCACUAAUUAAGAAAAUGCCUUACAGGCUUGUCUAUAGCUGGAUUUUUAUUUUAUUGAGACGGGGUUUCUCUGUGUAGCCCUAGUUGUCCUAAACUCACAUAGAUCCACCUGCCUUUGCCUCCCAAGUGUCGGGAUCAAAGGCGUGCGCCACCAAUUGCCUGGUUGGAGGCAUUGCCUUCAUUGAGCUUCCCCUCUUUCAGAUGACAGAAAACUAGCGAGCACACAAGUUGUCACAGAAAGAGUGCUGCUGCACAGUCUCACUCCUAUGAGGACCCUAAGAUCGCACAGAAGAUGAGAGCAGAACACUGGGUAUCAGAUCUAGAGACAGGAGGGCCGGCAUAGGGACAGGAAAGGGCAGGCCGUGAGUGUAAAGUUACAAUUAGAGAGGGGCAGGAGGUUCUGGGGCUUACAGUGGGGGUAAAGAUAACAAAGAUUAUGCUGGCAUUUCAGGUUUAUUCCAUUAUCAUGGUGGGACAUGGCAGGAGGCAGUGUGUUCCCCCAUUGGAGACCCGGAGUGUUCCGCAUGGGUCUAUCUUUACAUCCUCAGCAGCGAAAAAGCAAGCACCUUCCUUUUCUCAGCACUUAAGCCUCCCCUUCUCAUUAGCAGUGCUCUGGAGGGAGAGGGCGAGGCGGAGGCACUAAUUAAGGAGUCUGGAUGAGUUUGCCCCCAUCGCCGACCUUUCCCAAACAUCUGCCCCGCCGGCCAGAGGCAGCCAGAGCCUGCUGCUAGGCUUCUUGUUCUUCUGAGAAACCAUCGGAAAGCAUCUGCAAACACCCGUGAUUGCCUUAAAACGGAGAGAAGCACAUUUUCCAAUUACAGCCCGGGUGAUUGCUCCGGCUUUUAAUUAAUGGAUUGUGCAUCUGUUUGCGGAGACCCUUUUAAAUGUGCUUUUUUGGAGUUCCUUAAUUAGGUACAAGAAGCUGCAGGUGUUCUGGCAGGAGCACAGUGGACCCGGGACAGCUUCCAGAAGAGACUUCUUUAAUGUAAAUAUUUAGUCAACUGAUAAUGAGGCUCGUUUUUAGAGUUUUGUUCCUGUUUGGUGUGCAAGCCGUGGUGUCGGAAGAGACAUCCCGGCUUCGUUCAGACUGUUGACAAAAUAAAUUGAAACGGAAGAGACCAAUUUUCAUUAUGACAGACACUUAUCUGCAGUUAGACCAUUACCAGAAUGACAAGUUAUUCUCAUGUUGUCACUGUGAGCCUGCUGCCUGGGUUGUUUGGGGGCAGAGAUGCUGGGGAAGGUGCUGGGAUGCGGCAUGCUAAUUCCAUUGCCGGGGCUGUUAUUCAGAGGGAUGCUGCGGGCAGUGAGUGAGGUUUUGUCUCUCGGCGAGUGGAGAUUGCCCUGACAGUGUCCUGAGUGGGAAAGGCGUAGCUUUCUGCACCAGGUCAUGAAAAACUGGCGCUGUGGCUUUUUCCUGAAGUCAUUACCACCUCUGGAUUUGCGUGCCACCGUUGCCAGCAAGGCAGAGGGAAUUGUGAAGAAGGGCAAGGCCUGGCAGAGCCACAUGCUCCAGUACAUUGGUUUCCCUUCAGUGGGCACACCAUGCCCUGUGGGUCAAGAGCUCUACAGCCACUUAUGAUGGUGAGAUGUCAUUGGACCCAUCUCUCCUUGUAUCUACACGGUGCCUUUGGCUGCCUUCAUCACAGUGGUACCUAUGACUGCAGUUAGCAUCUGGUUCUCCAUAAAACGCUCCCCUGCCCUUGAUGUAGGGUGGUGUCCUGGACAAAGCUCCGAGAGUAGCUCUGGUAUCUGCUGCCUUCUUUCUAGGCCUCUCUCCAGUUCUAUGGGUUGAGGCAGAGCUUUUUCCCUCUGU